rnacentral:lncRNA from 1 species
GUCUUCUUCAAUUUCUUUUAUCAAUGUCUUCUAGUUUUCAGAGUAGAAAGCUUUCACCUCCUUGGUUAAAUUUAUUCCUAAGUAUUUUAUUAUUUUUGGUGCUGUUGUGAAUGGGGUCAUUUUCUUUAUUUCUCUUUCAGAUAAAACAACAUCUCUUGGUAAUCAGUAUGUGAUUCAAUCUACUGGGCACACGAAUCUCACACCAUGAUGCACAGAGAGACUGUUAGAGCCACUGCCACUGGACGGAAGGGUCUGGAUGGUGUUAUAUUCAUCUAUGAGCCCAGCAAAGUGCCUGACACAUAGUAAGUAUUCAAUAUAGGUUUGCUGAAUGAAUAUGUUUGUUUAUCAACUUUGUAAAAAGACAUUCAGAGUUAAGGUAAGUUUAGAUGGGAUUGGGGUAGA